UUAAGUUCAGCGGGUAUCCCUACCUGAUCCGAGGUCAAACGAAGAAAAUUGGGGGUUGCUGGCCAGCGACUGCUGGUCCCUGUCGCGAGAAGAAUUACUGCGCGUAGGGCCUAGCAGGCACCGCCACUGCUUUCAAGGCCCGCCGUCCCCGGCGGCGCCCAAGACCAAGCUAGGCUUGAGGGUUGUACUGACGCUCGAAC
rnacentral:misc_RNA from 1 species